rnacentral:lncRNA from 1 species
AGGGAAGGAAGACCUCGGAGACUCCGGCUACCAAUCAGCUACCGUCGCCUCCCUUGACGUCCGGAACCAGCUAUCCAGAACAUCUUGAAGGAAAGGAUAUUCAGAGGACAUGGAGCGCUGGACAUCAGCAUUAUUAUCAGGAAAGUUCAUAUUCUCCUUCUCUAAAUUUGUGGUUAUAUUUUCUAUUUUGAUAUUUGCGUAAUAGUCCUGGAAUCGAUGAGAUCACUCCCAAGACUCGGGGGUAGCAAUGGUACGUUCCCUCCGACCACACUAUCAUGUAAGCAUGCUAUUGACAACAAAUUUAGAACCUUUUGUGUAUCUUUUUUCGAAUCUAUAUAUUUGUGUCUUGUUUGGAGCGUGAAGACCAGGGACAACCUCCCUGCUGCUUUGGAAUUCGUCUUCAUGUGUAAUCGAGGCACAUGUUUGACACCCUCGGGAUGCCUGGACAACCAUCUUCAUAAGAUGGUUCGAAAGAAUUCCUAUGCCCUGGUGGCCCGUACUUCCGGUAAACCAUCAGGAAGACCCUCAGGGGUGCAGCUUUGGAAAACCCUCAGGGGUUGGAGUUUUUAUUCGAAAAUAUUUUUUAUUUGUUCGUCCCCAAGUGCGGUGGAGGGCGACGACCCACCUACUUGGAUGCCUGGGAUCUAAGUGGAUGAUGUCCCUACUGUCCCAGAGGUUUAUGUUCCCCAAGUGUGGUGGAGGGCGACGACCCACCUACUUGGAUGCUUGGAAUCUAAGUGGAUGAUUUCCCUACUGUUCCAGAGGUUGUUUUUCCCCAAGUGUGGUGGAGGGAAACGACCCACCUACUUGGAUGCCUAGGAUCUAAGUGGAUGAUGUCCCUACUGUCCUAGAUGCCUGGGAUUUAAGUAGAUGAUUUCCCUACUGUCCCGGAGGUUGAUCGUCCCCAAGUGCGG